UACGUAGGGGGCAAGCGUUGUCCGGAUUUACUGGGCGUAAAGAGCGUGUAGGCGGCCAAACAGGUCCGUUGUGAAAACUGGAGGCUUAACCUCCAGACGUCGACGGAAACCGUGUGGCUAGAGUCCGGAAGAGGAGAGUGGAAUUCCUGGUGUAGCGGUGAAUGCGCAGAUAUCAGGAAGAACACCAAUGGCGAAGGCAGCUCUCUGGGACGGUACUGACGCUGAGACGCGAAAGCGUGGGGAGCGAACAGG
rnacentral:rRNA from 1 species